AUUCCAGCUCCAAUAGCGUAUAUUAAAGUUGUUGCGGUUAAAAAGCUCGUAGUUGGAUUUCUGCCGAGGACGACCGGUCCGCCCUCUGGGUGAGUAUCUGGCUCGGCCUGGGCAUCUUCUUGGAGAACGUAUCUGCACUUGACUGUGUGGUGCGGUAUCCAGGACUUUUACUUUGAGGAAAUUAGAGUGUUUCAAGCAGGCUUACGCCUUGAAUACAUUAGCAUGGAAUAAUAAGAUAGGACCUCGGUUCUAUUUUGUUGGUUUCUAGAGCUGAGGUAAUGAUUAAUAGGGAUAGUUGGGGGCAUUCGUAUUUAACUGUCAGGGGUGAAAUUCUUGGAUUUGUUAAAGAUGGACUACUGCGAAAGCAUUUGUCAAGGAUGUUUUCAUCG
rnacentral:rRNA from 1 species